rnacentral:rRNA from 1 species
UACAGAGGAGCCAAGCGUUGUCCGGAAUUAUUGGGCGUAAAGAGCUCGUAGGCGGUUUGUCGCGUCUGCUGUGAAAACCCGAGGCUCAACCUCGGGCCUGCAGUGGGUACGGGCAGACUAGAGUGCGGUAGGGGAGAUUGGAAUUCCUGGUGUAGCGGUGGAAUGCGCAGAUAUCAGGAGGAACACCGGUGGUGUAGACGGCUCUCUGGACCGUAACUGACGCUGAGGCACGAAAGCGUGGGUAGCAAACAGG